CAUAGGCUGUGUUCUCAGUGAACCUAUGCCAACUUUGUGACAGUAGAUGUGUGGCUGAGCUGCUAUGUUCAGAUUAAGAACUGGUCAUUCCAAAAGUUUGAAACUUGAUGUAUAGAUUUGGCUCACCAGUGAAAAAGCAACAUCCAGAGUAAAGCUAUAAAGAAGCCCAAACCCUUCAGUCUCUCCUGAACCAAUACUCUGACUCCAGACCAUGUUUACAGGAUGUCUGUGAUAUAUUCGAGAGAGCUAUGAACUGCACUGAGCACUGCUGAUUUCUCCUGAUUUCUCACAUGAGGACAGCAAAUAUCUCAGGGUCUGACCUUUCUACAAAGAUUAACAAAUUAUCUCUCUGCUAUGACUUGUUCCAGCUAAGCCAGCCUGUGACUGCAGUCCCGUCAGCAGAAAACAAGCAGCUCUGUGCUGUAAUACAGCUGUGUAGUGGCUGGAUAGAACUUGAUUUCUGAAUGCUGAAGAGGACAUAAGCAGGUAGCUUCAGUGCUUGGAGCGAUUUCCAGGUGUCAGCUGAAUUGAACUAUACUGAGUGGAGUGUGUCGACAGAAUCUCUUUUCCAUAAGAGCUGCUGCUAUAUUGUAAUAAUCCCUAUAGAAAAGAGUAUAGAAGAGAUUGUUCUGCUGCUGAGAUUCUCUCUCCCCAUAUUUCAGCAGAUGGGGAUCUGCUGAAAUUCCUUGAAUUUAGCAUAGUAAUAAACUUAGAAAACAAAAGGUGAGUAGAAACAUUAUUUUACUUGUGGCUUCAUUAAUAUCUUAAACUGUUGGAGCAAAUUAGUUAAUAAAUGGCAGACAAACACUUUCAAGAAUGCACUUCUCUUCACAAGGCUGCAUGAUCCUACUCAUUUUACAGGGCAAUCUAUGCUGAUAUGUGUGCAUGAGAAAGCCAAUACUUGUGUCCCAUAGAAACACAAAGAGUAUUUAGCAUCGUGGUCCUUUCAGUGCUGUCCUGGAAUCUUGCAGCUCCCUUCCACUCCUGCUGCAACCCUAAGCACUAUCAAGCGAGAAGAAGAGCAGCCUAUUUUCCUAGCAUGCCCACCAGUUUAUUUCAUAAUAUCCUUCUCUGAUUUGUGGGGAAUGCUUGAGGUUAACAUCUGGAAAAGUGUUGCCUCCAGAAGUCAACAAGAAAUGAUGAGAUCCCUGCUAGUUCGCUGAAAUUAUUAAUUUGCCUCUGGUCUGUGAUUGCAUCAGUAUCAACACUAGCAUUUUUUGGUGAAAGUGCUCAUCAGCCACCUGCCUAGCAUCCUCCCAUAUCAUCCUCUUGGACUAUAUGAUCCUGUAUAGUCAGGGUAAAUUGUGAAAAUGUCUUGCCACUUCCAAGAUCCAAGACGGAGGAGAAUUUUGCGAAAAACACCAAAUAACAAAGGAAAACAGGUGAUAAAUCAUUGUGAAUAGAGACCUACAGUGUGGACAAUACUGCCCUUUUCCUCUCUUCUUUUUUGUACAUCAGAGAUGUCACAGUGACCAAAGCUAAAAAUGUCAUGAAUUGUGUGAGAACUGUAAGAGUAGGAGGAACUUUUAAAACAUUCCCAAGAGACAUACCCAAAGAGAGAAGAUGAUAUUUCUUUCACAUGUGCAUACUUUGGGAAACGCUCAUCACAUUCUCCAGGGGCAUUUCUAAUUAUGUGACACUAUGCAGAAAAGAACUGAAAGAUCCUCUUACUUUAUCACCAUUUGGUAGCCCAAGAUGCCAUUCUGAGCAUCCUGUUUGCACGUUUGUAUCUAUGAAAAUAAAACAGAUCAUAUCAGAUGCUUUUAAAAGUGCACAUUUGUGUAGAAGCAACAAAAAUGAACAUGAAUACAUACGAAUGAUAAUUUAUUUUUCACUAUUUUGUGUGAUCUUUAUUGAUAAUUCAUUAGAAUCAAGAAUGCUUAAUAAAAAUACCUUCUGUCACUGCUGUUACAAUGUUGAAAAGCAUAUGCUGACAUCAGUUGUAACUGUCUGCAGAAGCCUACAGUGUACAAGUCUACAUCUGGACUAGUCACCUUCUGUCCUUCUUAUAGGCAAUGAAAAAUAAAAGGCAUUUCCAGAGCUCAAUUUCCUCUCACACUUGCAGUAUAUAGUAUAGAGGCCUCAUAUUUUGCUGCUAAAAAUCUUCUGCAAGAAUGCAAAACUCUUUAUCUCCAUCUGCAGUGUCUCACUGUUAUUCUCAGAAAGGUUCUUCUGAGCAUGAUUCUCAUCAGAAGCAUAGUUUUUGAUUCAGAACCCUUGAGAUUUUUUUCACACAUCCAAAUUCAGCAGUUCUCCAGGGAGAAUUUGAAUAGUGUCCUUCUCCCAUGCAAGUAUCCGGUGAAAGAUUUCUUUACCACAGAAGCUAAGGAUGAGCUGUUUUUCUCAAAGUCAUUGGACAGAUGACAACGUCAUCAAUGUCCAAAGAGGCUCCAAGAGGCAAAGUUCAAUUUAGCAUUUUAGGAAAAC